rnacentral:sRNA from 1 species
CAUUGGGCGCGCGACACCUCCGAACCUCUGGUAUGUCAUUACAGCGGUGGAAAGACUCCUGGCUCCAAACUGAAGUGGGAGAUACCCAAGGGUCCCAGUGAUGGCUGAAGCAAUUGUUGGGAGCAGCCUCAAGAGAGGGAAGCAGGCUUCAUGUUAAAAAGCAAUUGUAUUCUGGCCUUAGGUUAGAUCAAAGCAGCCAUACCUGGACCUGCACCUGCAGUUCUGCUUGAACUCAAUAGAUAGAAUAAAUCUGGUUGUCAGGUCGCUUAGCACCAGUGGUCAGGUCACUAAACAACCCACUCUACUGUCCCCCCCACACCCACUGGCCGAUUUACCCAGCCAAUAUCCUGGUCAUCGAGCCAGACCCAUUCUUCUGUGGUUACCUAACCCCUCCCCAUAUCCUCCUUCUACCAGUCUAUCUUCUGCCUGAGAAAAAUUAAAAAUUGUCAGCUUAAUCAGACCUCUUGAUUUACUGUCUGUUCUUUGCCUCUCUUGUCCCCCAUUCUCUCCUAGGUGGACCCCAGACCCUGGUCGAAUGCCCUGCGGGACGGGGCAAGCAAUGACCUCAUGCAGACCUGGAAGACGGUAUGUUUUACAUGUAGAUUCAACAACUGCUUCUGCCAGUGGUGGGCAUACACGCCACAACAGAGUUCGAAAUGACAGCCAGAGGACUCCCAGGAACCCAAGCCACAGAGAAAAAGCUAAGAGAAUACCACGCAUGCCACCAGCCCUGCGGUCUCAGGAUAAGCCUGCCACACAUCAGCCUGUGAAGCCAUCUGGCAAGAGGAGCCUGAGACAGGCAGAGGGUUAGGGAAGAGGCAGACGUUGUAGGCGCUCCAGGGAUGGAGGAGAAGGGUGUCGCUCAGAGUGGGGAACUCCCAGGAAAUGGAGGUCAUCUGAUGUCCAGGCAAGUCUAAGGGCUGUGAAAAUAAGUCCAGAGGCCUCUUGGGCUCCUGCAGAGGGACCAAGGGACAAAGUGACAGAAAUGUCCUGGUCAUCUCCAGCCCUUUAAGAUGGUCUGAAAGGUGAAAGCCACACCCAAAAAUCCACGGAGGUUCAGAAGGCAAGACUGCCACCUAACUACUAUAGGGGCCUUGGUGAGUAGAGAGGACCCUGGCCAUCGACAUCCCAAAGACUCGUGUCCUUGCUGAUUGGAGGGCACCAGAGUUUAGAAGGCAAGGGAACACAAAGUAAGGAAAGACCAUGACUGUGGAGGAGCUAACCUGACGGAAGCUCUGUGUGAGAAGUCGAUAUGGAGGAAAGAGAGUUAAAGCAACACAGCCUCUGACUGACUUCACUCUACUCCACUCGUCUGCUUCCCUGCUAACCCUGACCUCACAUCGUCCGUGUGGAGGCCACAUCCCUCAGUUGCAUGGCUGUACACCUGUGCCCCGAAGGACAGCGCUUUGGAUUCCUGGCAGAACAGAUGGACUCCUUGGCUGAAUUGUGCCUGGGAUUGAGGUGAGAGGCUGCCACUGCCUUGGGCAGAUCUUGUCCUGCUACUAUGGUGGACUAUAUCUAUGAACCGUGAGCCCAAAUAAAUCUUC